rnacentral:rRNA from 1 species
AAUCAACGCUGGCGGCGUGCCUAACACAUGCAAGUCGAACGCGAAAGCCCCUUCGGGGGUAAGUAGAGUGGCGUCCGGGUGAGUAACACGUAGGUAAUCUACCUUCGGGUGGGGAAUAACCAGUCGAAAGAUUGGCUAAUACCGCAUAAUGCAGCGGCACCUAAUGGUGAUUAGUUGUUAAAGCGGGGGAUCGUAAGACCUCGCGCCUGAAGAGGAGCCUGCGGCAGAUUAGCUAGUUGGGAGGUAAUGGCUCACCAAGGCUUCGAUCUGUAGCUGGUCUGAGAGGACGGCCAGCCACACUGGCACUGACACACGGGCCAGACUCCUACGGGAGG